AGAGGAUGCUCCGCGCCGGAUGUCUUGAAGAAGGACCCGCUCCAUGCCGGAUGGAUGAAGAUAAAGGAUGCCAUCUGGAUGAAGACUUCUGCCAGCUUCGAGGAGGACUUCUGCCCGCUUGGAUGAAGACUUCUGCCGCCUGGAUGAGGAUGGAUGUCUGGUCUUCGAAAACUUGCUAGGACUCUGUGUGGAUGUUCGUUUGCUAUUGGCCUGUCCAGGGGCUCGUCCGGGUGCAUGUGACCGCCACUCCCACCACGUGUGUCUACACGGAAGAACGCCACAGUUUGAGAGCAGCCCCGGCUGCGCUAACAGGAGGCUUAUCACGGCAGAUCCUAGAGCGCAUGCAUUAAAGGAGAAGGAC